CCCAGCCUACGGGACGCAGCAGUGGGGAAUAUUGCGCAAUGGGCGAAAGCCUGACGCAGCGACGCCGCGUGAGGGAUGGAGGUCUUCGGAUCGUAAACCUCUGUCAGCAGGGAAGAACGGUCACUGUGCUAAUCAGCAGUGAAUUGACGGUACCUGCAAAGGAAGCACCGGCUAACUCCGUGCCAGCAGCCGCGGUAAUACGGAGGGUGCGAGCGUUAAUCGGAAUUACUGGGCGUAAAGCGCUCGUAGGCGGUAUGUCAAGUCAAGGGUGAACUCCCCGCGCUCAACGUGGGA
rnacentral:rRNA from 1 species